GGGGGAGUAAACUCAGUGGUAGAGCAAGUGUUUAGCAUGCAUGAGGCCCUGGGUUUGAGCCCCAGCACUUCCA
rnacentral:tRNA from 1 species